UACGGAGGAUCCGAGCGUUAUCCGGAAUUAUUGGGUUUAAAGGGUGCGUAGGCGGCCAUUUAAGUCAGCGGUGAAAUUUUGCAGCUUAACUGUAACAGUGCCGUUGAUACUGUUUGGCUAGGAUUUGGUUGUAGUGCUCGGAAUGUGUGGUGUAGCGGUGAAAUGCUUAGAUAUGACACAGAACACCGAUUGCGAAGGCAGCUUACUGGGAUGCCACUGACACUGAGGCACGAAAGCGUGGGUAUCAAACAGGAUUAGA
rnacentral:rRNA from 1 species